GGCAAGACACAGACCUUCAACACACUGAGGGACACGCCACGUGAAAAACUCCAAAUGCAAACUGAUUAAAGUAAAAAAGAAGCUAUUUUAUUUAAAAGCAUGUCCUUGCCUUCUUAACACUGAUAACACUGUACCAAUGAGUCAUUCAAAACCCAACUGAAGGCAGAUCACUGGUGGGAGGAGGGUAUUUUAAGGAAGAAGCUGGGUGGGUUCUAAGGACGUCCUUUCAUGGGAAGUGGGCACGCUAUUAGAGCGAAGCGAUCGGAAAGUUUCUCAUGGUGCGCCCAUCGCUGUGCCCGGGUUUGCAGAGGGGCCCGGCCGAGGCUGGCAGUGUGGGCAACGGCCUGUCACCCACUCCCUUUCAUGGGGAAUCCCUGGUUGAACCAAGACAGCCGUUCCCACACGUGAGGGAGAGAGGGCAGAGGGCUCUGCAGCUUUCUGCCCUCCCCUCUUGGACUUGGCAAUGGUUCCUUAAUCAACAGCAGCGACCUGUUCCACUUGGAUGCCUUUUCACAACAACGGAACCUGUAAGCCUUUGUGCUCUGCAGCGGGAACCCAAUGCUAGGAGAUGAGGCCGAGCAUCGCUGGCCUAUCACACAGGGAGCAGCACCUCUGCUGCAGGUGCCCUUCCCCAGGAGGGACCACACACUGGGAAAACGGCCUCUGAAAAAGCAAUGCUUUGGAAAGAGCAAUCACGCCCUGCAGGACCCACGGCCCUCACGAUGCUGGGUGUUAAGCAUCGGCUCUUCCCCUCGUGGGGAGACCGCCCGCAGCUGCUCGCCGAAGGGAAGGUUUCCUAUGCUCUUCCCAACAUCCACCCUUUUCUCCCUCUCUCUCUCUCUCUCUCUCUCUUUGAAGAAAGCCAUGACUGAUUUUGCAAAAACCCCCAGGAUGCCUGACUAUCUUUUGCCACUGGCGUGGGCACUGUCACCCUCGGCCCUUCUGUCCCUGCAGGAAGCGGUCCCGUCGUGAAGCGGAGCCCAGGCGCACUUUCUGGAUCAGACCCACCAAGUCCAAGGGCCUGAACAGCUCAAACAUGACUUCGAUCCCAAGUAUGGCCACAAAGGGCACCGUGUUUCACCACGGGAUCUAAUAUUAAAAAGUGAAUUAAAAAGAAUUUAUUGCUAUUCUAUCA